rnacentral:rRNA from 1 species
AGAGUUUGAUCCUGGCUCAGGACGAACGCUGGCGGCGUGCCUAAUACAUGCAAGUAGAACGCUGAAGAGAGGAGCUUGCUCUUCUUGGAUGAGUUGCGAACGGGUGAGUAACGCGUAGGUAACCUGCCUUGUAGCGGGGGAUAACUAUUGGAAACGAUAGCUAAUACCGCAUAACAAUGGAUGACCCAUGUCAUUUAUUUGAAAGGGGCAAAUGCUCCACUACAAGAUGGACCUGCGUUGUAUUAGCUAGUAGGUGAGGUAACGGCUCACCUAGGCGACGAUACAUAGCCGACCUGAGAGGGUGAUCGGCCACACUGGGACUGAGACACGGCCCAGACUCCUACGGGAGGCACCAGUAGGGAAUCUUCGGCAAUGGGGGCAACCCUGACCGAGCAACGCCGCGUGAGUGAAGAAGGUUUUCGGAUCGUAAAGCUCUGUUGUAAGUCAAGAACGAGUGUGAGAGUGGAAAGUUCACACUGUGACGGUAGCUUACCAGAAAGGGACGGCUAACUACGUGCCAGCAGCCGCGGUAAUACGUAGGUCCCGAGCGUUGUCCGGAUUUAUUGGGCGUAAAGCAAGCGCAGGCGGUUUGAUAAGUCUGAAGUUAAAGGCUGUGGCUCAACCAUAGUUCGCUUUGGAAACUGUCAAACUUGAGUGCAGAAGGGGAGAGUGGAAUUCCAUGUGUAGCGGUGAAAUGCGUAGAUAUAUGGAGGAACACCGGUGGCGAAAGCGGCUCUCUGGUCUGUAACUGACGCUGAGGCUCGAAAGCGUGGGGAGCGAACAGGAUUAGAUACCCUGGUAGUCCACGCCGUAAACGAUGAGUGCUAGGUGUUGGAUCCUUUCCGGGAUUCAGUGCCGCAGCUAACGCAUUAAGCACUCCGCCUGGGGAGUACGACCGCAAGGUUGAAACUCAAAGGAAUUGACGGGGGCCCGCACAAGCGGUGGAGCAUGUGGUUUAAUUCGAAGCAACGCGAAGAACCUUACCAGGUCUUGACAUCCCGAUGCUAUUUCUAGAGAUAGAAAGUUACUUCGGUACAUCGGUGACAGGUGGUGCAUGGUUGUCGUCAGCUCGUGUCGUGAGAUGUUGGGUUAAGUCCCGCAACGAGCGCAACCCCUAUUGUUAGUUGCCAUCAUUCAGUUGGGCACUCUAGCGAGACUGCCGGUAAUAAACCGGAGGAAGGUGGGGAUGACGUCAAAUCAUCAUGCCCCUUAUGACCUGGGCUACACACGUGCUACAAUGGUUGGUACAACGAGUUGCGAGUCGGUGACGGCAAGCUAAUCUCUUAAAGCCAAUCUCAGUUCGGAUUGUAGGCUGCAACUCGCCUACAUGAAGUCGGAAUCGCUAGUAAUCGCGGAUCAGCACGCCGCGGUGAAUACGUUCCCGGGCCUUGUACACACCGCCCGUCACACCACGAGAGUUUGUAACACCCGAAGUCGGUGAGGUAACCUUUUGGAGCCAGCCGCCUAAGGUGGGAUAGAUGAUUGGGGUGAAGUCGUAACAAGGUA